AUGGGGCUCAGGAGCCAGAAAGAGUUUGGAAGGUUCAGCAACACUCUUUUCAGCUUUCUCCACAUUCUGGUCCUUGAUUCCUUUUCUAUGGAUCUCGACUCGUCUACACUCUUCCUACAUUGUUGGAAUAAGUUGCUCAUUUACAAAAGGUACAAAAUUUGUUUUAUUCCCUAAUGUACGAAUGCCUGCAAUCCAUAGAUAAUGUAUGUUUUUUAAAUGAUUUAGACCUUGGCACGGCUGGGUGGCUCAGCAGUUAAGCGUCUGCCUUUGGCCCAGGGGGUGAUCCUGGAGUCCAGGGGUCGAGUCCCACAUCGGGCUCCCUGCAUGGAGCCUGCUUCUCCCUCUGCCUGUGUCUCUGCCUCUCUCUCUCUCUCUCUGUGUGUCUCUCAUGAAUAAAUAAAUAAAAUCUUAAAAAAAAAAAAAGAUU
rnacentral:lncRNA from 1 species